GUGCAGCAGGCGAGAAUUUUUCUCAAUGGGGGAAACCCUGAAGGAGCGACGCCGCGUGGAGGAUGAAGGCCUUCGGGUUGUAAACUCCUGUCAUUUGAGAACAAGCGCCGGCAAGUAACUACUGCCGGCUUGAUAGUAUCAGAAGAGGAAGGGACGGCUAACUCUGUGCCAGCAGCCGCGGUAAUACAGAGGUCCCAAGCGUUGUUCGGAUUCAUUGGGCGUAAAGGGUGCGUAGGUGGCGCCGUAAGUCAGGUGUGAAAUUUCGGAGCUUAACUCCGAAACUGCAUUUGAUACUGCGGUGCUUGAGGACUGGAGAGGAGACUGGAAUUUACGGUGUAGCAGUGAAAUGCGUAGAGAUCGUAAGGAAGACCAGUGGCGAAGGCGGGUCUCUGGACAGUUCCUGACACUGAGGCACGAAGGCCAGGGGAGCAAACGGGAUUAGAUACACCCGUAGU
rnacentral:rRNA from 1 species